rnacentral:miRNA from 1 species
UCACCACCUUCAUCUUCAA